UUUUCAAAUGUGAGCACCUUCCCAAAUGAAGACAUUUUUCCCACCUGGCAUUCAAACUUGGAAAAGCUUCCCUAAAUCAUAACUAGGGAAUUUACUUUCUGAUUGCAUUAUUAAUCUUAAAAUUUAAUUGAGCUUUCCUAGAGAGAGCACCUAACUUU